UACGUAGGGUGCGAGCGUUAAUCGGAAUUACUGGGCGUAAAGCGUGCGCAGGCGGUUAUUUAAGUCAGGUGUGAAAGCCCUGGGCUUAACCUAGGAAUUGCGCUUGAGACUGGAUAGCUUGGAGUGCGGCAGAGGGAGGUGGAAUUCCACGUGUAGCAGUGAAAUGCGUAGAGAUGUGGAGGAACACCGAUGGCGAAGGCAGCCUCCUGGGCCAGCACUGACGCUCAUGCACGAAAGCGUGGGGAGCAGACAGG
rnacentral:rRNA from 1 species